UUUUUUUUUUUGCAUAAACCAGCAAGGUUGAAUGCUGUAUUUUAUAAAUGCAAUUGGAAGUAUGAUGGCUCUUUCAGAAAAAAACUGUUUCAAGUGGAUUUUGGAUAGAAGAUUUGAAACAAAAAAAUCCAAGUACAUGAUCACUCUGUAGAUUUUGUAACAAGAUCCUCUUUGGGUGAUUUUGUGCAUGUUGCAGGUUGUUGAUGCUAGAAGUUGCUUAUUAUGAAGACUAGGUGGAAAUGGUGAUCGAGAAGAUGCUUCAUUAAGUACACAUGGUCGGAGAGGGCCGGAGAUUCAUAUUUGGAUAGUGAGGACUUCAUUGCAGAGCUUUAUAUCAUGGCCCAAGUCCUUUCCUUUAGGCCGUGCAUCAGUAGAGAUCAUGCUGCCCGGUUGUGGAUGAGUUGGCUAGCCGCCCAAUUGCUAGCAAGCUUAACUAGAGGAGAGCACAGUAGUCUUUGCUGGUGUUUUGCUUGACUGGUAAACCAUCUUCUAUUGAUUUAACUUUUCCUUUUUUGUUGUUAUUGUCUAGAAUCUGGACAAUCUGGACAUUGUUUCCAGAGCUGGAUGUAAAAUAAACAUCAGUCAAAUUUUCUCAUUCUCUUAAGAAAACCAUCUGCAGCCUUUUUAUAUCACA